UGCGCAGGCGGCUUUGUAAGUCAGAUGUGAAAUCCCCGGGCUUAACCUGGGAACUGCGUUUGAAACUACAAGGCUAGAGUGUAGCAGAGGGGGGUGGAAUUCCAUGUGUAGCAGUGAAAUGCGUAGAGAUAUGGAAGAACAUCGAUGGCGAAGGCAGCCCCCUGGGUUAACACUGACGCUCAUGCACGAAAGCGUGGGGAGCAAACAGGAUUAGAUACCCUGGUAGUC
rnacentral:rRNA from 1 species